AACGAACGCUGGCGGCAGGCCUAACACAUGCAAGUCGAACGGGUGUAGCAAUACAUCAGUGGCGCACGGGAGAGUAACGCGUGGGAACCUACCUUUUGGUUCGGAAUAACGUCGGGAAACUGACGCUAAUACCGGAUAAGCCCUACGGGGGAAAGAUUUAUCGCCGAAAGAUGGGGCCGCGUUAGAUUAGCUUGUUGGUGAGGUAACGGCUCACCAAGGCUACGAUCUAUAGCUGGUCUAAGAGGAUGAUCAGCCUCACUGGGACUGAGACACGGCCCAGACUCCUACGGGAGGCAGCAGUGGGGAAUAUUGGACAAUGGGGGCAACCCUGAUCCAGCCAUGCCGCGUGAAUGAUGAAGGCCUUCGGGUUGUGAAGUUCUUUUGGCGGGGACGAUGAUGACGGUACCCGCAGAAUAAGCUCCGGCUAACUUCGUGCCAGCCGCCGCCGUAA
rnacentral:rRNA from 1 species